rnacentral:rRNA from 1 species
AUUGAACGCUGGCGGCAGGCCUAACACAUGCAAGUCGAGCGGAUGAAGGGAGCUUGCUCCUGGAUUCAGCGGCGGACGGGUGGGUAAUGCCUAGGAAUCUGCCUGGUAGUGGGGGAUAACGUCCGGAAACGGGCGCUAAUACCGCAUAAGUCCUGAGGGAGAAAGUGGGGGAUCUUCGGACCUCCCGACAUCAGAUGAGCCGAGGUCGGAUUAGCUAGUUGGUGGGGUAAAGGCCUACCAAGGCGACGAUCCGUAACUGGUCUGAGAGGAUGAUCAGUCACACUGGAACUGAGACACGGUCCAGACUCCUACGGGAGGCAGCAGUGGGGAAUAUUGGACAAUGGGCGAAAGCCUGAUCCAGCCAUGCCGCGUGUGUGAAGAAGGUCUUCGGAUUGUAAAGCACUUUAAGUUGGGAGGAAGGGCAGUAAGUUAAUACCUUGCUGUUUUGACGGUACCAACAGAAUAAGCACCGGCUAACUUCGUG